AGUGAACGCUGGCGGUAGGCCUAACACAUGCAAGUCGAACGGCAGCACAGGAGAGCUUGCUCUCUGGGUGGCGAGUGGCGGACGGGUGAGGAAUACAUCGGAAUCUACUUUUUCGUGGGGGAUAACGUAGGGAAACUUACGCUAAUACCGCAUACGACCUACGGGUGAAAGCAGGGGAUCUUCGGACCUUGCGCGAUUGAAUGAGCCGAUGUCGGAUUGGCUAGUUGGCGGGGUAAAGGCCCACCAAGGCGACGAUCCGUAGCUGGUCUGAGAGGAUGAUCAGCCACACUGGAACUGAGACACGGUCCAGACUCCUACGGGAGGCAGCAGUGGGGAAUAUUGGACAAUGGGCGCAAGCCUGAUCCAGCCAUACCGCGUGGGUGAAGAAGGCCUUCGGGUUGUAAAGCCCUUUUGUUGGGAAAGAAAUCCAGCUGGCUAAUACCCGGUUGGGAUGACGGUACCCAAAGAAUGAGCACCGGCUAACUUCGUGCCAGCCGCCGCAGUAAGAC
rnacentral:rRNA from 1 species